ACACGACUACAUUAGAUACCCCUGUAGUCCUAGCCGUAAACGAUACUCGCUAGGUGUCGGCCACGGUGCGACCGUUGUCGGUGCCGUAGGGAAGCCGUGAAGCGAGCCACCUGGGAAGUACGGCCGCAAGGCUGAAACUUAAAGGAAUUGGGCGGGGGAGCACAACAACGGGUGGAGCUUGCGGUUUAAUUGGAUUCAACGCCGGAAAUCUUACCGGGACCGACAGCAACAUGAAGGCCAAGCUGAAGACUUUGCCGGAUUAGCUG
rnacentral:rRNA from 1 species